UACAGAGGUCUCAAGCGUUGUUCGGAUUCAUUGGGCGUAAAGGGUGCGUAGGCGGGUUGGUAAGUCAGUGGUGAAAUCCUUUCGCUUAACGAAGGAACUGCCAUUGAUACUACCAGUCUUGAAUACAGUGGAGGUAGGCGGAAUGCGUCAUGUAGCGGUGAAAUGCUUAGAUAUGACGCAGAACACCAAUUGCGAAGGCAGCUUGCUACACUGUUAUUGACACUGAGGCACGAAAGCGUGGGGAUCAAACAGG
rnacentral:rRNA from 1 species